rnacentral:snRNA from 1 species
CGGAGGAAAAGAAACUAACAAGGAUUCCC